AAUAAGGAAACCAUUCUUAUGAAACCAGGUGCUAAUAUAUCCCAGUCCAAGUGGAUGUUAAAGUUCAGCCAUCAUUAGCAGAGGGGUGCAGAAGAGCAAGCCCUGGGCUGCAGGCUCAUUGCUGGCUGGAAAGAGUCUCCUCUCUUUUCCGUCGCGAUUUUCCCAUGUUUCCUUCAGCAUCACCAACUUGGAACUGAAGCAGCAGCGAUAAAAUAGUCACCCAGACAAAUGUGAAGAGGACCAGGGGGCCACCCAGUUCACUCUGCCGGCAGCUGGACACAGAGGCGGUCAGUGGCUGUUCACACUAAGGAGCUCACAUGUGAGAUUGCCUUGAGUUUCAGAGAAGACUUUGGACUUGAACUGUGGACAAUCCCAGAACUGUUGAGGGCAUGGUGACUCUUGGAAAUGGACUAAAUGUAUGUUGCAUUGUCAGAUAAAUGAGAGCUUUGGGGGAUGGGAGUGGAAUGUUACGGUUUGGAUGUGAGUGUCCCCCAAAAGCUCAAGUGUGAGACAACGCAAGAAGGUUCUGAGGAAAAAUGCUGGGGUUGUGACAGUCAGUCAGUGAAUUGAUACCUGAUUGGAUUAACUGGGUGGUGACUGGAGACACGAGGGGUAUGGUUGAAGUGGUUAAUUGGGGGUAUAUUUUAUAUCUGGAGAGCAGAGUCUCUUCCUGAGGACGGUUAUGUGAGCUGCGUCCCUCUGCCACCCCCUCCCACCCUAAUGUUCAGCCUCACCUCUAGCAGGGAGGAAUGAAGCCAGCCUUCUAUGGACUAAGACCUCUCAAACUAUGAGCCCUCAAAUAAACUCUUCGUCCUCAGCAGUGAAAAAGCUGACUAAACACCAUCCCAACAACAUAAUAACCAUUUCCAGAAUAAUCCAGUAAUCUGGAGAGCAGCCCAUUUUUUUAACCUAUUAAGGGGAUGCCCAGCACUGGCUAGUUUUCAUGGGUAGAACAGGAUUAGGGACAUAACUCUGCUUAGUCAAAGUCUGGCAUGGAGAAGGUGCUGUGCUAACCACAGGACAAUGAUGCAUUCCUCUGUGGCAGGAUGGAGUCAAGAAUUCAAAUACUGUGCUUAAAAAUCUAGCUCGAAACCUCACACAACAAAACAGCAAGACACACUGUAGCUGGCUGUUUCACCACCUGCUGUGUUUUUCCAUAAAGGCAUACCAGCACAUAAUAGAAUUCCGCUUCAAACGACACACAGGAUAGGUUCUAUCAAAUCCCAGUUAGCCGUUGGGUUCUGUUGGUACUAUACGAUCUCCUACCUAUUUUAGGUAACAUCCGCUAUGUCCCAUUCAGAACUGGUGUUCAGGAUACAGACCCUGGGAGAGGGGAACGUCAUGAUAACCAUGACAGGCAUUUCUCUGAACUUUCACGCCUGCAGGCAACAUGCUAGGCGUGCCACACAUAUUCUUUAAAUAACCUGAAAAAUACUUGCUGUUUUCUAUGCCCACAUGUUAACGGACGUGGGAUUCUUCUUCAGUU